GCUGGGCAUGGUGGCCCAUGCCUGUGGUCCAAACUACUUGGGAGGCUGAGGCAGGAGGAUCGCUUGAGCCUGGGAGUUCAAGGCUUCAGUCAGCCAUGAUAGCACCACUGCACUCCAGCCCAGGCAACAAAGUAAGACCUUGUCUCAG
rfam:Homo sapiens chromosome 19, GRCh38 reference primary assembly.